rnacentral:rRNA from 1 species
UACGGGGGGGGCAAGCGUUGUUCGGAAUUACUGGGCGUAAAGGGUUCGUAGGUGGCCAACUCAGUCAGACGUGAAAUCCCUCAGCUCAACUGGGGAACUGCGUCUGAUACUAGAUGGCUCGAGUGCAGGAGAGGAACGCGGAAUUCCAGGUGUAGCGGUGAAAUGCGUAGAUAUCAGGAGGAACACCGAUGGCGAAGGCAGGUCUCUGGGCCACUACUGACGCUGAGAAGCGAAAGCAUGGGGAGCGAACAGG